GCCAGGGAACUACGAGCAAAGCUUAAAACCCAAAGGACUUGACGGUGCCCAUAUCCCACUAGAGGAGCCUGUCCUAUAAUCGAUGAUCCCCGUUUAACCUCACCUCUCCUAGCUUAUCAGCCUGUAUAUUUCCGUCGUAAACUAACCACAUGAAUGAAAUUCAGUUAUGUUCCAAGACCUAAGAACCCCAAAAAGACACCCGUCAACACGUCAGGUCAAAAUGCAGCAAAUGGGAAGGAAAGAGAUUGGCUACACUUUUUAAUAUAAAAGAAAACGAAAGACAAUAAUGAAACUUUGUCAGAAGGUGGAUUUAGCAGUAAAAAGAAUUCAUAAUAUUCAUUUGAAUUUGGCACUGGAGCGUGU
rnacentral:rRNA from 1 species